ensembl:lncRNA
GGGUGGGGUAGAGGCAGCCACUCCAGUUGCAUUUCUGGCCCCUGGCACCAGACUGAGAACCCUUUGCAACUGAUCAGAACUCACCUCCUGUCAAGGGCUGAAUUCUUUCUUGCCAAGAAGAUGGUAGAAACCUCGACCAUCAUAGUGGUGAUUUCAAAAGAGGCUCUAAGUAUAACAUUUUCUGGACCUGUGGCAUGGCUUAUUGCGGGCUUGGUGGUUGUCGUUGUCAUCGGUGGCAUCACCUAUUAUGUAGUGAAACAGGAGAAGAGGAACCAGAACAAAAUGAAAUGACAUGACUCCUGUCCAGGCACUGGCAGAGGGGCAGGCUGCCUUCACCUGAAUACGUGCAGCAACGCACUGCAUACAUUUCAGAGUUUAUAUGAACAAGAUAAACUUUUCAACAAGAAAAAAUCAUUAAACAUACAAUGAACACUUACUGUGUGCGUGGCCUUUUCUAGAAGUAGGCUGUGAAUUC